rnacentral:misc_RNA from 1 species
GGAAGAUUGUGUACACCAAGUUGGCAACACUACCAAAAUCCAACUUCAAGCAUAAAUAGAGCAUAAUACUUUAUUGCUUUAGCAAUAAGAUGGUAACAUAAAAAUAUCACAACAUGUAAUACAGCAUCAUGGAAGAAAUCAGAUAUCAGAGACCCAAAAUUAUAGUCACAUCUAUGCAAACAAGAUCCUAAAAACUAUAAGUUUUCUUGAUGACCUAUUAUCUUGUCAC